CAAUAGCGUAUAUUUAAGUUGUUGCAGUUAAAAAGCUCGUAGUUGGAUUUCGGGUUGGCUUCAGCGGUCUCGCUUUGCGUUUGUACUGCUGCAGCCUACCUUCUUGUCGGGGACGGGCCUUCGGGCUUAAUUGCUUGGGGCCCGGAGUCGACGACGUUACUUUGAGUAAAUUAGAGUGUUCAAAGCAAGCCUACGCUCUGAAUAUAAUAGCAUGGGAUAACACGACAGGACUCUGGCCUAUCGUGUUGGUCUGUAGGACCAGAGUAAUGAUUAAGAGGGACAGUCGGGGGCAUUCGUAUUCCGUUGUCAGAGGUGAAAUUCUUGGAUUUACGGAAGACGAACAUCUGCGAAAGCAUUUGCCAAGGAUGUUUUCAUUGA
rnacentral:rRNA from 1 species